UACGGAGGGUGCGAGCGUUGUUCGGAAUCACUGGGCGUAAAGCGCGUGUAGGCGGCCUUUUAAGUCCGAUGUGAAAGCCCGGGGCUCACCCCCGGAAGUGCAUUGGAUACUGAUUGGCUGGAGUACCGGAGAGGAGGGUGGAAUUCCUGGUGUAGCGGUGAAAUGCGUAGAUAUCAGGAGGAACACCUGUGGCGAAGGCGGCCCUCUGGACGGAUACUGACGCUGAGACGCGAAAGCGUGGGAGCAAACAGG
rnacentral:rRNA from 1 species